ACCAGCACACUGGUAACAGUUGUUUAGCUCAGGGCAACAGGUGCGGCUUGUACGCAUAGCUGUAUUAUGGGUAGACCAGUUGUCUGUUUUAAACCUGCUUAUACCAGUUGUAGAAGUCAUCAUAUGUGCAUGGCUUAAUUUCAUGUUCAGUAAAUCUAUGAAAUAUAUGUGUGAAAAUUGACUUGCUUCUAAAUUAGAUGUGUUGGAAAGAUUGGGUAAGGUUAAGAAUUUUCUAAAAUAAAACUUGAGAGUUUAAUAUAGGCAAGAUAUUUAUAAAAAUAUGGAGGAAAAGAUUGGGUUUAUGCAGAGUCUGGGAGCUAGGGAGAUGCUCAGUGGUUAAUGGUGCUUGUUUCUCUUUCAUUGUCUCUUUUUAUACAUAUUUCUUUAUGUAUAAAAUAUAUAUAUAUUUGAAGUCUGGACCUUUUCAUAGCCCUGGCUGUCCUGGAACUCAAGAUGUAGACCAGGUUGGCCUUGAACUCACAGAGUUCAAGGUACCUGCAUCUGCUUCCCUAAUGCUGGCAUUAAAGAAAGGCAUGUACCACUAAAUAAAAUACA
rnacentral:lncRNA from 1 species